rnacentral:rRNA from 1 species
GCUUUCUCUUGAGAGCGGCGGACGGGUGAGUAAUGCCUAGGAAUCUGCCUGGUAUUGGGGGAUAACGUCCGGAAACGGACGCUAUUACCACAUACAUCCUACGGGAGAAAGCAUGGGACCUUCUGGCCUUGCGCUAUCAGAUGAGCCUACGUCGGAUUAGCUAGUUGGUGGGGUAAUGGCUCACCAAGGCGACAAUCCGUAACUGGUCUGAUACGAUGAUCAGUCACACUGGAACUGAGACACGGUCCAGACUCCUACCGGAGGCAGCAGUGGGGAAUAUUGGACAAUGGGCGAAAUCCUGAUCCAGCCAUGCCGCGUGUGUGAAGAAUGUCUUCGGAUUGUACAGCACUUUAAGUUGGGAGGAAAGGCACUAAAUUAAUACUUUGCUGCUUUGACUUUACC